rnacentral:rRNA from 1 species
CCCUUAGAUGUUCUGGGCCGCACGCGCGCUACACUGUUCGACGCAGCGAGUCUUAACCUUGACCGAAAGGUUUGGGUAAUCUUCAGCAAAGUCGAACGUGAUGGGGAUCGAUCAUUGCAAUUAUUGAUCGUGAACGAGGAAUUCCUAGUAAGUGCAAGUCAUCAGCUUGCGCUGAUUACGUCCCUGCCCUUUGUACACACCGCCCGUCGCUACUACCGAUUGAAUGGUUUAGUGGGAUCUCUGGAUUGACGCUGGCUAGGGGGCGACCCUUGGCCAGACUGUUGAGAAACUGCUCAAACUUGAUCAUUUAGAGGAAGCAAAAGUCGUAACA